UGUGCGCGAGCAGGUGCCAACGGUGCCAACGACGCCAACGGUGCCCAAGGAGCCCGAGGGACUGGCAGCUGAAAGAGGAGCGGCCGCGUCCGGCUGAGCCCCCGAGGGAUCAGGCUAGCCCGAGGUGGGGCGCACAGCACUGCGUCUUCAGAGCCCCUGGCCACCAUGGCAGUGGUUUACCGUUGAUUCUGAGCUGCCAGUAACUGGGCAGCACCUUGGCUGCUGUAUUCACCAUGCUGAGGGAGGCUGUGUACGUCCUUCCCAGAGAAGCAGGACGCCCACAGGAGCAUGCCCACCCUCACUAAGCUAAGGAGGUGGUGGGAACUCAAAACCAGAGACUUCCAGAAGAUCCUGGCCACCAGCUGGUGUCUCACGCAGAAACCCCUCAGGUCUUGCCAGCACCGGACCUUUGCUUUUUCUCCUGUAGCUUUGCCUUGGCUCAAGACCCAUCUGCACGAGUGCUCUUGUCCCUGGGAGCUCUUUUGGAGGCCUGGCUGUCCCUGUGCUCUGCAAGAGCAGACAAGAUGUGGGUCUUUCUGGGGACCCGGUCCGUCCUGAACUGGGAGGAGAAGACUGGAGUCUGGGCAUCCAACUUAGGGAUGCUGUGAACAAACCCCUGGGGACAGCCUGUGUAUGUCCCUUCGUGACCAGGAGGAGUUUGAGCAGGAAAUUCAGCCUAGUCCUGGGGGCCACAGCCUCUACCUUAAGAAUGUAAUUUCAAAGGGGAUGAUACUUCCCAAGCAUCAGUGUGUCAGACACAAGGCCAGGACCGAGUAAUAAGUGGGGUGAGAGCUGAGGAAAAGCUGAGAUGCCCUCCAACAGGCAGGCCCCAAGGAAGGCUGCCUGGAGGAGGAAGACCAAGAGCCCUGCAGGACAUGGAGGGCUCAAGGGUGGCAAAGGACUGGGUUUGCCUUUCAGAACCCAGUGGUAUGAUUUCCAC